rnacentral:lncRNA from 1 species
CUGAGAGUACCCCUAAAAGGUUCGGGAAUUCUUCAUUCGAUAGUUUAAAGUUUUGUGGUUGUUCGAGUUGAAGAGGUGGAAUCGUCUCCCUUGAACCCGUUGUCCGGUUAGCUGCUCGGAAAGAGGUAAAUUAUUUCUUUAACUUUGUUUUCCUUUUAAUUUCUAGUUCUAUUAUGUAUGUGUUCUUAGCUUUGUACGUGUUUUAACUGGGUUUUAGUCUCCGUAUGCUAGAAUUUGGUUGAUGGGUAUUAGCUAGUAAUAUCCCUUUCAUUAUUUUCAGUUUUUUGUUUUCAUAAUUAGUUUCCACUACCUGUAUGUGUUUAAUUCUGCCUAAGCUGUGAUUUUUUAUAUAUCUUGCUUCACCAGCCUUUAGAAUUUGUUUAUUUUGGGAAAAUUAAAUAAUAUUGUUGUUGUUCGAGCUUUUGCUGAAUUAGUAUAGCUUCAUUCAUGUCUGUCCUAAUUCUUUGAGCAAUCAGUUUAGUCUAAAGAUAUGUUGUACAGCUUAGGAGUUCAAGUUUCAUCAUACAUAUGCCUCUGAGAUAAUAUGCAGUUUGUGUUCUCUUGUGCAUUUCGUAGAUAUAUGGCUUCAAUAUAUAUAUAUAUAUAUAUAUAUUUCUUUUUUGAUGUUCAUUCUUGUUGUUGUUUAAUUGUUUGGUAUCCAUGCGUUGCUUUCAAGAGUUAUGGUAGGCUGUAUGAUUGAAUGGUCAUUAGUUUUUCUACUCGUAUUUUUUUUACUUCAUAUUAGUGAAAUUAGUUUUAACAGUUAGUCUUCAAAUUUCCUUAUAGGACUAUCAAUUGCUUAUUUUACUGAGAAUACAUGUGUAUACCAUUAUUUGUUUAUAUGCUAUGUUAGUAUACUCCUUUACAGUGCAUGUGUAAGAAUAUAUUUGAGUUGAUAAUUAGUAUUUCGUCUCUUCUCUUAGAAAUAGGUUUAGGCUCUGUGAUUAGAUUUUAGAUAUUGUGUACCUAUUUAAAUUGUUGUGAUCAAAAUAUGAAGUUUAGUAUAUAAUGUCUAAUCCAUGCUAUUGUUUGAAAGUUUCGUGCCUAUUCGGAAGUUUGCCCGUGAGGUUUGGUUUAUUAUUAUAAAUAAUUUGAGUGUCUAGAUUUAUUAUUAAGAUGAAAGGAUUCAUUGCUGCAUCCAAGUGAUUUGUUUGAAUAUUUUUGUAAAGUCUUAUCAUGUUAAGUUAUUAAUUUUUAUCUCAUUUUGCGCAUGAACUCUCUUGUUCGAGUCCAAUUGGACCAUCUCUUGCAUACUCCACUUCUUGAGUCAACCUCAUCGAAGUCGUGAAAGAGAAGCUAAUAUUAUUGGGUUAAAUCCCAAAUCAGUGGCAGCAGAAGUAGCGGCAUAAUAGCAAUCCCAAAUGGCCGAAAAUUGAAUUUUGGAUUUUAGAAUCCAAUUCAAUUGCAGCAGUAGCAGCAGCAGUCCCAAAGGGACUAAAAUUGGAAAUUUUUGGACUUUAAUAAGUCCAAUUCGCAGCAGUAGCAGCAGCCCCCAAAGGGCUAAAAUUUUUGGGACUUAGGACUUAAAGGUCAGAUUUGAGCAUAAGCGUCAAAAGUGGUUCGAGUAUUAAGUCCAGUGGCUUGAUUUGGAGACAUGCUUUAUUUCCUUUCUUUCUCUUAUUAUUUGUUUAUUGAUUGAUUGUGAAUUAACUUUUUAUCUAAUUCAGAUGAAUCCUUGGGAGUUUUUAAAUAACUCUUCUAUUUCGUUA